UACGUAGGUGGCAAGCGUUGUCCGGAAUUAUUGGGCGUAAAGCGCGCGCAGGCGGUCCUUUAAGUCUGAUGUGAAAGCCCACGGCCCAACCGUGGAGGGUCAUUGGAAACUGGGGGACUUGAGUGCAGAAGAGGAGAGUGGAAUUCCACGUGUAGCGGUGAAAUGCGUAGAGAUGUGGAGGAACACCAGUGGCGAAGGCGACUCUCUGGUCUGUAACUGACGCUGAGGCGCGAAAGCGUGGGGAGCAAACAGG
rnacentral:rRNA from 1 species